AAAGACUUAGUCCUAACCUUACCGUUAAUUCUUGCUAAACAUAUACAUGCAAGUAUCUGCGCCCCAGUGUAAAUGCCCUCAGCGCCCUAAUUAGGGUAAGAGGAGCAGGUAUCAGGCACACCCACGACAGUAGCCCAAGACGCCUUGCUAGGCCACACCCCCACGGGUACUCAGCAGUAAUUAACAUUAAGCAAUAAGUGUAAACUUGACUUAGUUAUAGCAACAUUCAGGGCUGGUAAAUCUUGUGCCAGCCACCGCGGUCACACAAGAAGCCCAAAUUAACCCGGAUAUCGGCGUAAAGAGUGGUAUUGUAUUAUCCUUCUAACUAGAGUUGAAAUACAACUGAGCUGUCAUAAGCCUAAGAUGUACUUAAAAUUCCCCCUAAAAACGACCCUAGUACUUAUGAUCAAUUAAACACCACUAAAGCUAGGGCACAAACUGGGAUUAGAUACCCCACUAUGCCUAGCCUUAAAUCUUGGCACUUACCAUACUAAAGUACCCGCCUGAGAACUACGAGCACAAACGCUUAAAACUCUAAGGACUUGGCGGUGCUCUAAACCCACCUAGAGGAGCCUGUUCUAUAAUCGAUAAUCCACGAUGCACCCGACCACCCCUUGCCAGUACAGCCUACAUACCGCCGUCGUCAGCUCACCUCCCUUGAGAGUGUAGUAGUGAGCACAAUAGCCAUAAAUUCCGCUAGUAAGACAGGUCAAGGUAUAGCCCAUGGGGUGGGAGAAAUGGGCUACAUUUUCUAAGAUAGAAAAGUUCACGAAAGGGGGUGUGCAAGCAUCCCUAGAAGGCGGAUUUAGUAGUAAAGCGGGACCAUAGAGCCCCCUUUAAACCGGCCCUGGAGCACGUACAUACCGCCCGUCACCCUCAUCACGAGCUAUAAACUCUUAUUACUAAUACUCCAUACCAGCUAAAGAUGAGGUAAGUCGUAACAAGGUAAGUGUACCGGAAGGUGCACUUAGCAUAU
rnacentral:ncRNA from 1 species